GGUCAGGAUGAACGCUAGCUACAGGCUAACACAUGCAAGUCGAGGGGCAGCAUGAUCUAAGCUUGCUAGAUGAUGGCGACCGGCGCACGGGUGAGUAACGCGUAUCCAACCUUCCCUAUAGUAGAGGAUAGCCCGGCGAAAGUCGGAUUAAUACUCUAUGUUGUUCAAUGCGGACAUCUAAGUUGAACCAAAGGUUUACCGCUAUAGGAUGGGGAUGCGUCUGAUUAGGUUGUUGGCGGGGUAACGGCCCACCAAGCCUACGAUCAGUAGGGGUUCUGAGAGAAGGUCCCCACAUUGGAACUGAGACACGGUCCAAACUCCUACGGGAGGCAGCAGUGAGGAAUAUUGGUCAAUGGGCGAGAGCCUGAACCAGCCAAGUAGCGUGCAGGAAUGACGGCCCUAUGGGUUGUAAACUGCUUUUAUACAGGGAUAAAGUGCGCCACGUGUGGCGUUUUGUAGGUACUGUAUGAAUAAGGACCGGCUAAUUCCGUGCCAGCAGCUGC
rnacentral:rRNA from 1 species